rnacentral:rRNA from 1 species
UGGGGAACCUGCCCCAUAGUCUGGGAUACCACUUGGAAACAGGUGCUAAUACCGGAUAAGAAAGCAGAUCGCAUGAUCAGCUUUUAAAAGGCGGCGUAAGCUGUCGCUAUGGGAUGGCCCCGCGGUGCAUUAGCUAGUUGGUAAGGUAAAGGCUUACCAAGGCGAUGAUGCAUAGCCUAGUUGAGAGACUGAUCGGCCACAUUGGGACUGAGACACGGCCCAAACUCCUACGGGAGGCAGCAGUC